rnacentral:rRNA from 1 species
ACUCCUACGGGAGGCAGCAGUAGGGAAUCUUCCACAAUGGGCGCAAGCCUGAUGGAGCAACACCGCGUGAGUGAAGAAGGGUUUCGGCUCGUAAAGCUCUGUUGUUAAAGAAGAACAGUAUGAGAGUAACUGUUCAUACGUUGACGGUAUUAACCAGAAGUCACGGCUAACUACGUGCCAGCAGCCGCGGUAAUACGUAGGUGGCAAGCGUUAUCCGGUAUUUAUUGGGCGUAAAGAGAGUGCAGGCGGUUUUCUAAGUCUGAUGUGAAAGCCUUCGGCUUAACCGGAGAAGUGCAUCGGAAACUGGAUAACUUGAGUGCAGAAGAGGGUAGUGG